rnacentral:tRNA from 1 species
GCGGGUGUAGUAUAACGGCUAUUAUGACUGCCUUCCAAGCAGUACACGCGGGUUCGACUCCCGCCACCCGCA